rnacentral:snRNA from 1 species
AUGCUUGCUUCAGCAGUACAUAUACUAAAAUUGCAACAAUACAGAGAAGAUUGGCAUGGUCUCUGUGCAAGGAUGACGCACAAAUUCAUGAAGCAUUCCAUAUAAAA